rnacentral:lncRNA from 10 species
GUCCAGCCCCGCGCCAGCCCAAGCGCAGCCCCCGGGGUGGCUCAUUUCGGCAGGGUCUUCAAGUGGGCUGGCUGAGACUUGCAUCUUCCUUCUUGGGCUAUGGUGCAUUAUUAAAGAGAUAGUGGUGGUAAAACCCUUAGCGCCUGGCAUAUUGUAGGCGCUAAGUGUUGGCUGAAUACACCCUGCAGGGUGUUAUGAAUUCUACUGCCAUUAUCUCAUCUGAUCUUUACACAGUCCAAUAAAACAACCAUCAACUAGGAUUACGAGCUCCCUUUUACAGAUGAGGAGAUGGAGGUGCGAUGAGAUCAACAGACACCACGCUGCCCCACUGACUUCUGCAGGCCCAGCCUCUGCCAUACUCUUUGGAGUCCUUGAAUAGCAAACCCUCGCCUGGCUCGCCUCGUGAUAGCUCUGUGACCUCUGAGGCUAGGAGCAAAAGGCCAUGAAGGCUGUACAUGAUAGUUCACACCUGUAAUCCCAGGCCGAGAUAGGAGGAUCACUUGAAGCCAGGAGCUUAAAACGAGACUGGUCAACAUAGCAAGACUCCCAUCUCUACAGAAAAAUUUCAGAAUUAGCCAUGCAUGGUGGCACGUGCCUAUAGUGCCAGCUACUCAGGAUGCUGAAGCAGGAGGAUUGUGUGAGCCCAGGAAUUGGAGGUUACCGUGAACUAUGCGCCACUGCGCUGCAGCCUGGAUGACAAAGCGAGAUCCUGUUUCUAUUAAACAACAACCAAAAAAGGCCAUGAAGCUGCCGCCCUGUUCAUGAGAUCACUGCUGUGGGAGCCUUGAGCUGCCAGGGACGAAGCAGGCUGUCUUCAAGUGGUGGCAAAG